rfam:Paenibacillus sp. MSt1 Contig_5, whole genome shotgun sequence.
GGAGCUGUGGAGAAGCGGGAGUUCUCGCCGGUUCGUCAGACCGGAGGCCGCGGGUUCAAGUCCCGCCGGCUCCA